CCAUUCACAGUAUAAAGACCUAACCCUAAGCUCUGUCUUUCUCCCUCAUCUCUUUCUCCCUCCGCCGCCGCCCCCAUCCCCAAUCUCCUCCCUCCUCCGCCGCCCCAUCCCCAAUCUCCUCUCCCUGCCCCGUCGCCCCAUCCCGAAUCCCCUCCUCUCGCUCCUCCGCACCCUCUCCAUCUGGUGGUCGCUCCUUUCACCACCCCUUGCCCCACCUCCCGGCUGAGCCCUUUCUCUUCCCCGGCCUCUCCCGUACCUCCUCCGCUCACAUUCCUAGUGGCACCUCUGCGUCCUCUACCCUAUGCUCUACCUUUCCUGCUGACCAGCGAUGAUAACGGCGUCUUGGGUGCGCUGGAUCCGGCAUGGAUCUCAAUACCGACAGUAGCCUUGUUGGAGCAGAGCAGCUGUGCGAUGGCCGGUCUACCGCGACGACUCGCUGGAGGCGGCAGCGAACUCUAGUCGCCACUCACCACUUGUUACCGGCUCAACGCCUUCGACUGGAGGCAGAGCAAUACUGUCAACAAGGUAAGUACCAAGGCAGCUGCGGUGAGUGUGCACAGCGGCAGAUAUGCAUGGUGAGCUUAUCCCCUUCCACACCAACUUGUGAUUUUGUUCUUCCAUGGCCGAUGUGUCUAUGCAGACACUGGAUCUAAAUUUAGAACCUGCCACUUUUAUAUUCCUUGAUUUUUUGCACGGAUGGUUACCGCUAGCUUAACACAAAACGUUCUGAUGUUUCUCUGGUAACAUGCAUUGAAUUGAUGUACUGGUGGUUGGUUGAGUGUCCGUACGUGAUAGACCUGUGUUUGAGUAAUGAUCUAGACCACAAACUUAAGUUGCCGGAUAUAUCUGCAUAUACAGAAGCUAGCUUCUCAUGUAUGCAUGUUAAUGUCAACUAGCUGUGGUAUAUACUGGUGAUUUUACCUGAUUGUGCUAAAAUUUACAUCAUAGAGGUGUAUUUGAUUUAUUGUCAAUUGAUGGUGGUUGGUCAUCAUGCAAGCCACCCCUUCUCUGUUAUUUUGUACAAAUAUGUGAUUUUUCAUACAGACUUUUGUUCUUGCAAUCUAUCAUACAUGGGCUUCGUUAAUUAUAUAUGCCAUACAUGUUGAUCAACAUCAUUAGUGAACAAAUCAUUUUGCUCUAGAAACAAGGAACACAUUUGAGAGUUCUAUGUUCAGUUGUGUAUGAUUGUUUUUUGUUGUUGCGCUGUCUUUGGCUAUAAUUCAAUUCAUACUCAAAAUGAUGAGCUUAGAGCAUAUUUUAUCUUUCUCUUACUAAGAAAAUCAUUGUGUUUAUAAUUUAUAUGUUGAACAGUACUUGUGCUAUGCAUAUUUCAAUGGGUCAUGAAUUUAAAGUGAAUGUGAGUGUUGUGCAUAUGUGAUUUUUUUUCAUUUCAGCUGAGCGUGAAGUUUGUGAAAUUUGCUUCAGGGCCAUCCUGUCAAGUCCAUCAUUAAGAAAGGGAAGGUAAUGCGCCACCACCCGCUGUACCUUGUUCCUUCUUAGUUCUGUUUCAGUUAGUAAAUUAAGAUGCUUGGGGUGAAAUAGUUCUUUAAGGAUUAGUUUCAAUGUGGACUGUUCUAUAGUUCCAGUGCAAGAAUUAAUUUAGAUCGGUGGGAGUAACACUUUUUACUCUACAAAUAUUAUAUUAUACUGUUUUCAGGACUACAGAAAUUCUGUCAAGAACAUUAACUGAUAAGGUUUUACUGUAAUUAAUGUAGUUAUUGUCUGCUAAGAGAACCAGGAAAGAUAUGGGUAACUUGAUAUGGUACUUGACAGUCUACACAACAAUAUUUAUGUCAAAAAUAGAAGUCAGAACUGGAGAACAAAAUAAACUAAAAUACACAUGAUAGUACAAUCUGUACCUUAAAAUUCGCCAAAGAGGAGUUACGAAGGCCACAUGACUGUCUCCCACUGUCCCAAUAGCAAAUCAGGGUGGUUUUAAGCUUUUUUUAUGGAACAAAAGGCAUAGGACUUUUCUUUCAUUGAUUUCUUUUUUGCGUAUGAUCGACUAGAAAAAUAUAAAAUAAGUGUAUCAAACACUAAAAUAUAAAAUAAGUGUAUCAAACACUAAAAUAUAAAAUAAGUGUAUCAUCGGCAAGCAAGUGUUGUGUACUAUUGUCAGUGCUUUGAGAUGAACUAUAAACACUCAGUUUCAUGUGUCUGUGUGGUGGAUAUUGUUUCAUAGUCAUGCCAUUUUUUUGGCUGAUUUAUGUCCUCUACUGCUGCAGUACUUGGGAGUUCCGUGAUGUGUAUUUUGUUGCUUUGUCACUUAUAGGUCAACUUGAUUACAUUUUUAGUUCACACAGAUUUCUUUUGAUUAAUUUUAAGCAACCCAAUGUUUAUUCUUGUUUUAUAGUACAUACUUUGUUAUUCUCUUUUAUAGGCAUUGCAAGAUUUAAGAAUUUUUGACAUGUAAUUCAUUUUUUAUGUUUAUUCUAAGUCUCUUAUUUCUACAAUCUAUUCAUAUAUACAAAUAUGUACUGUUGUAACUAUGUGUAUGAUUAGGUCCCAUGCUACUUGUUGCCACUUGUUGUUUCUUUUCACAUGUUUAAUUAAAUUUGUUGCACUAUGCACCCUGGGAGUGAAAAAAUAUAGAAUGUAGUAACAUGUACUCCCUCCAUAAAUAAAUAUAAGAGCGUUUAGAUAACUAAAGUAGUAGUGAUCUAAACACUCUUAUAUUUCUUUACAGAGGGAGUACUAAGCUACUUCUAGUUUACCUACUUGCUCUAAUAUUUUAUGAAGUGACAAAAUUUUCAUCAUCUGGCAGCUAUUGAUUUAUGGGAGCAUUUUCAGCAACAAAGACGUGUGUUUUGACGACUUCGGUAUGGACGGGCGGAUCUGUGGCUAGAAAAGCGGAUUGAUGGGGGCGGUGUUGGCUGUAGAGUAGCAUAGUGUUCUCCAAAACAUGCUUGUAAACUUAAUGUUAUUUGGGUAUUUUCUUUUUGGUCCUGUAGUGGUGUAUUUUUGGUUGUGUUUGUGUAAUUUUCUUUUUUUAGUGACAUGAGCAUAUAUUUUUUGUAAAAUUCUUAUUGGCUUAAAGUUUCAAUGGAGGCAGAAAUUCUUAUUGGCUUAAAGUUUCAAUGGAGGGAGAGAAAUGAGAGAUGAGCUAAUUUUCUUGACUGAAAUUAAUGGGCCGUAGAUGAAAUUAAUGCACUUAUAUUCUAAUUGGGUUGAUUACUAUAUGGGCCACUACUCUUACAUCUAGCUGAAAUUUAGUGGGCCAAAAUUUAAAUGGGCUGAGCAUUACAUGAG
rnacentral:lncRNA from 1 species